UGUUUUAGCUGUUUAUGUUUUGUAUUCGUCUUUUUUGGCAUAUCUUUACCUUUUUCUAACUCUUUUUCUGUCUCAGGGAAACGCACAAGAAUUCCAAUGUACCUAUGCUGCUGUGUAUCUGUGCAAAUGACAAAGUUUAUUCUGUUCUAUUUUACAUUGACGAAUCAGAACGCUGUAUACUGACAUCACCAACCAAUCAGCAGGCGCCUUCUUGUCACUCCAGGAAAUGCCAGCCAUGGUUUGUGUUUACUUGGUGUUGCGGUGAGAGCAGAGAUGAGCCGUGCCUCUUUUGCUCCAUGAAGCAUGUGAACAAAACUGAAUUCUACUCCAUGUUAGACAGUGGAUUUUGGCAGAGAUUUCCAUCAUCUCUAUACUUAUGGUCGGUUUGAGAUAAAAGCUACCGGAGUUUAUAUCUCUGGAUGUCGCGGUGCUCCCUGCUAUAGUUAGCCGGCAUCGUAGCUGCUAGUUAGCACGCAGCUAACUACCAUGCAGUGAAGCGGAGACGGCGACGUGAGCUUUUAUUGAUUUACUUUUCAAUCAUUGUGAACAUGCUCCGGCUGUUUUGUAAAGCUAAAUGUUAAUAUUUUUAUUCCCAUGUCACCUGCUGCUACAAAGUGGAUUGAAAUUCGGUUGUGUCAGCUGUGCUAACCUCCAUUAGCAAAGCUAUAUCCAGCCUCCUAUUCUGGCCGGGUCUUUUUGUUAUCCCAGUUUGUUGUCAGCGCUGGAUUUGUCUUGCUUUUGGAGUGGAUUUGUGCUGCUGUUCCGCUGAACUACAGUUAGUGGCCGCAGAGGACAGCAGUAGUGGUGGUCCAACCCAACUAUUGAAUCUGACUGAACUGCUGUUCUUUCCUGUUGCUUCCACCUGGAGAUCUGGUAGGACUGGUCUUUACUAGAGACCCAGAGGAUUUAGUGGUGAACUGAGAAUCCUAACUCUCUGGGGAUUUUUUCCCCCCUUUUUCAUUGGACUGAAAAAAAAAAAAAAAAGAAGGAACGAAAACAAAACCCCUUCAUUUAUAACUGGUUACUGUGAAG